AAAUACAUUCAUAAUAUUAAAUUCAUGUACAAUAUGCAACACAUACAAACAAUUGAACUCUUCUAUUCAUCACAAGAUAUCAUUGAUCAAUGCAUUAAUUUUAAUAUCUAUAUAAGAUUCAAUAGUUUUCUUCACUCAAGUUAGCUACAACCAUUAUGGAAAUACACAAGUCGGAUAUACAAGAGAGGCAUGUUACAAACAUAAUGGCCAAAGUUCAAAAGAGACCAAGGGACCAAAUCUUCAAUCGCCAAGCCAAAUCAACUUCCAUAUGAACAAAAUGUGUCAUCCAUAUUAUCAAGAAAAGCAAUCACAAGAACAUCUUCGAUCAACUAGUGGACUUGCUACUUUCUACCAUUUUCCCUACAAUAGAACGCAUAUGUUUCAGCAAUCUUUGAAACAAUACAAUGUAUUCAAAUGCAUGAGUUGCCUUUGAGUCCAAAGGUCUAAGAAAUAGAAGAUGUACAAAAGUAAACUGACACUUGAUUGCCUCACCUCUCUAAUAAAACUUAUGCAUAUAAUUGCGGUUCAUGCAUUCUAUAGUUAUAAAGCAAAGAUUCAAGUUACAAAAGGUAACAUUAUUAGAAUAUAAACCAAAGUCAGCAUAGCACCUAGCAUAUCAGAAAUGGCUUACUAUAAAAAUGCAUGAAAUCGCUGAUGAGCACUCAGGUUGUUCUAAGCCAUUAGGAGUAAGGUCCUUACUGUAAUUUGAGAGAUUGCAUUAGAAGCUACUCAAUCAGCAAAACGCUACAACACCUAUGUUUACCUACAAAAGGAGACGGGUGUAAUCCUAAUAUGUGGACUGAACUAAAUAUGGUUCCCAGAAAAAUAAUGGUCAAGUUUUGUUUUUUUGUGGCUGAUCUUUAAAAGAGAGCAAGCUUCAGUUUAGCUGUUAGGAAUUGCAGACUGACGGACAAUUGUACCACUCACCGUGUUUGAACAAAUAUGCAAGCAAACAUUCAGUUUAGCUUGCAUACUAAAUCACACAUUUCUGCUAGCUUCCAUGAUCAAGUCUCUGAACUUGAUACUAUUUGCAUAUAAACAUAGAAACCAAACAUUAUAUGUUCUGCUAUAACCCAGAUUUAUUAUCACCUUAUCGUGCCCUUAAUUCUAAUCUAUUUCUGAUAGAAAUUAGAUAAUCUAGUAGCCUGAUGCAUCAUCCAUUUAUAAUGACAUUACAAACUGCACUGUAUGUGUUUAGUUAUGAAGCAUGAAACCAGACAAGAAAAAUACAAAGAUUGCCCAAAAGAAAAAUAAUAGUGUUAGUUCAAACUGAGGACCAUUUUCCCCAUUCUGAACCUUUGUCUUAUUUAAUCUAGUGUUUAGUUCAAACCGAAGAUCACAUGAAGAUUCUAAGCAAAAGAACAACUUAUUUAUAAAACCCUCCAUUAAUUUAAUCUAGUUUAGUUUCAACCGAGCAGCAACUUGAUCAUGGUUUAGUAUUUGUUUAUCCUGGACCGAACUAGUAGAUUUGAUGAACAAUGGCUGAAUAAGAAAACUACUACUACAAGUCCAGUCCCUAGAACCAACAAAUAUUAAGCAUCGAUCCCAUGGUCUGCAAGGGUCAAAGUAAAGAGCAAUUUCUACUGUACCAGAUUCAGAUUAGACUGUUUACUCAAUAAAUAAACCUGAAAUUUAAUCUAUAAGCAAACAACAUCGAUAUUAUUCAAUAAAAACCUCAAGAGGAACAAGCCGCAAAAAAGAUGCAUUCAGUUUGAUAUAUCAAUGUAAACAGGACAAAUAACGCUUAAACAAUGAAAACAAAAGCAAGAAAGAAUGAUUGAUGUUGUUGUGGCUUGCAUGUGACUCCAUUUUCGGUUGCGACAAUGACUAGAACAUCUUAGCCAAAGAGGGAUCACAAGUCCAGAACAAAAUAAGAUAACUGCAUUUACGCACAAUUCCUAGUUCCUUACCAAACAUGUCGCGCCUACUGAUGCAUCAGUGGCGGACUGAACUAGUGCAGUCAGUUAGCUGAACUGCAACGCUAGUGUGUGUGUGUGGGCUUGGGGCCGUAUGUGUUGUGGGCCUGAGGCCAUGUAAGGGUAAGCCCAGGAGGGGCGGCUACUUAUGUACGAAACACUAAGGAGAAAGGCAGCGAGUGAUUGACUGAACCUUCUUUCCCCUCCUCCACGUCUCUCACCUACUCUCUUCUAUCUUCCUCAUCCCCAAUUUCCGAUCGAGAUCCGUCUGGGCAUUACAAUCUGGUAAUCAGAGCCUUCCCGAAAUUUUUUUUCCGCCACCACUCUACACGGAGGGCGCAGCGCAGCUGCCGUUCGCCCGGCUCGUCAACCAUGGGCCGCCCCUGCUGCUGCAAAACUCUCCCACGGCGUACGAGCGGGGCGCCGAGCAUUACACCAAGCCGCCCAAGCACGACUUCCCCCGUUUUGACGGCGACGCGCCGCGCAUCUGGCUGGAGCGGUGCCUCUCUUACUUCGAGCUCUACCGGGUGCCGCAGCACAGUUGGGUCGCCACCGCCGGCCUGUAUAUGGAUGGGCUUGCGGCCAUGUGGCUUCAGGCGUACAAACAGACGCACCCUGCUCUGUCGUGGCCCGCCUUCAGAACCGCAGUGGAAGCAGAGUUUGGACCUGAAGAAUUUGAAAGUUUGGACCUGAAGAAUUUGAAGCGCAGAUGCAUCAGCUAGUGCAAUUGCGUCAGACUGGGAGCGUGCAAGAGUAUCGACAGCAAUUUGAAACCUCCAUGUACCACCUAUUGUCUCUGGAUCCAACCCUGAGCACACAGUUCUUCAUCUCACAGUUCCUUCUCGGUCUGAAGGAUGAACUGAGAUUGGGUGUCCGUUUGCAAGCCCCAACAAGCAUCACACGCGCAGCUGUUUUCGCGAGGAUUCAGGAAGAAGAACUGGAGAAGCAACGUUUGCAGCGCCCGCGCAUUGUCCCAGUGGGCAGGCCACCUCCAGCGACAACCAACACCAACCAAGCUCGCGCAGCGCCUCCCCCGCGACCGGGCGGCGACGAGUACACGCGCGAGCGGCAGCUGCGCGACUUCAGACGAGCCAAUGGGCUUUGUUUUCGCUGCGGCGACAAAUACUCCCGCGAACAUCAGUGCAAGCGCACGGGACAAAUACUGAUGAUUGAGGUGGGCGAUUUCGGCGAGAUCCUCUCGGAUGACACCGUGCACGCGCUGCAAUUGCUCGAUGAACCAGCCCUGCCCGAGCCGGAGUGCUGUACCUUAUCGCAGGACGCAAUUUCCGGCGAAGACGCGCCGUCCACCGUUCGUCUUCGCGCCCAAGUCGGAGAUCAAGUGAUGCUGCUCCUGGUGGACUCGGGCAGUUCUCAUAGCUUUGUUAGCGAAGCAUUCAUUCAACGCAUUGCAGCCGACACCCAGCCACUGUCGCCCGUCUCCGUUCGGGUAGCAAAUGGCCAACGCUUGCACUGCAACAAGAUGGUAAAGCAAUUGGCAUGGCAAGUGCCAGGACACACAUUCCACACUGAUCUACGGGUGUUGCAGUUGAGUGCAUAUGACGCAGUGCUGGGAAUGGAUUGGCUCUCUGACCACAGUCCGAUGAACUGUCACUGGAAAUUAAAGCGUAUAUCAUUCGAAACCGAGGGCAAGACGGUGCAACUGCAAGGGGUUCGCACCACCAAUCUCUCCCCCACGGCCGUACUGGAUGCUUAUGAACUUCACCGAAUGGAGAUCGCCAAUGACAUAUGGACAGCAGCUCUGGUCACUGUCGAGCCGUCAGAGAAAGGGAAUACUGAACCGAUACCUCCCAGGAUUCAGCAAGUGCUCUCUGAAUAUCAAGAUGUGUUUGCUGAACCCAAGUCCCUGCCUCCUCAUCGUCAGUAUGACCACGGCAUACACCUGGAGCCAGGCACUACACCCAUCAACACCAAACCAUACCGCUACUCGCCAAUGCAGAAGGAUGAGAUCGAGCAGCAAGUACAAGAGAUGUUACAAUCAGGGGUCAUUGUGCACAGCAUGAGUCCAUAUGCCGCACCAGUCCUGCUUGUGAAGAAAAAGGAUGGCAGCUGGCGUUUCUGUGUUGACUUCCGUCGACUGAAUUCUGCGACGGUGAAGAACAAAUUUCCGCUGCCCAUUGUGGAUGAACUUCUGGACGAGCUUGCGGGAGCAAAAUAUUUCUCCAAGAUCGACCUCCGUGCAGGGUAUCACCAGAUCCGCAUGCGUGAGGAGGAUGAAGCAAAGACUGCUUUUAAAACCCACCACGGGCACUAUCAAUUCAGAGUGAUGCCAUUUUGCCUUUGCAACGCGCCGGCAACCUUCCAGUGUCUGAUGAACAGCAUAUUCGGCCGCUAUGUCCGUAAGUUCAUCAUCAUUUUUCUUGACGAUAUCUUGGUCUUCAGCUGUGAUCUACAGGAACAUGAACAACACUUGCGCCUCACACUUGACCUGCUACGCGAACACCAACUGUUUGCCAAGGCGUCCAAGUGUUCAUUCGCCCAGGAAAGCAUUGAGUACUUGGGCCACGUCAUUUCACAGGACGGCGUCGCCACGGACACAAGCAAGAUGAGCGCGAUGCAGGCGUGGCCGGUGCCCUCUACACCCACUGAACUGCGUGGUUUUCUUGGCCUCACCGGCUACUACCGCAAGUUUGUCCCACAUUAUGGCAUCAUCGCGAAGCCGCUCACCCAGCUCCUGACCAAGAAGGGAUUCGAGUGGAGCGCCAAGGCCCAGCAGGCGUUCGAGAUGCUGAAACAAGCGAUGGUGAGCACCCCCGUGCUAGCACUCCCGAACUUCUCACGCCCUUUUGCCAUUGAGACGGACGCGUGCGACACGGGAGUGGGCGCGGUGCUCACCCAGGAUGGCCACCCCGUCGCCUACCUCAGCAAGGCUUUGGGGAUCAAGAAUCAGAAGUUGUCCACAUAUGAAAAAGAGUUCUUGGCCGUUAUGAUGGCCAUCGACAAGUGGAGACCUUACCUGCAGCGCGCGCCGUUUGAAAUCGUCACCGACCACAAGAGCCUCUGCAUGCUUGGGGAUCAACAGCUGGUGACGGAGCUGCAGCGCAAAGCCAUGUCCAAGAUGGUGGGCCUGCAGUUCACCUUUCGGUACAAGAAAGGCGUCGACAAUGGUGCCGCUGAUGCGCUAUCCAGGGUGGGACAUCUGUUGACACUGGAUGCGUUAUCAGUCUGUCAGCCCCAGUGGUUACAAGAAGUCGCCAACUCCUACGAAACCGACCCAGAAUCACAAGAACUCCUGACCAAGCUGGCACUCACCACCACAGAUGAUCAAGGGCGAACACUUCAGAACGGCGUGAUCAGGCAGCGUGGGCGUCUGUGGAUUGGAGCCAAUUCCGCGCUGCAGACCAAGCUGAUCGCCGCACUGCAUCACAGUGCUGUUGGGGGCCACUCCGGUGCAACAACGACGUACCAUCGUGUCCGGAAACUGUUCGCGUGGCCUGGACUGAAGCGCGCCGUGGAGGAUUUUGUCCGUCAGUGUGCCGUCUGUCAGCAUGCCAAGCACGAGCACACGCACCCCGCAGGCAAGCUCCAACCCCUACCCAUUCCUACGGAACCAUGGCACGAUCUGACUAUGGAUUUUGUCGAGGGGCUACCCAAAUCAGAGGGGUCUGAUGCCAUCAUGGUCGUCGUCGAUCGCCUGACCAAGUACGCACACUUCAUUCCGCUGCACCACCCCUUCACCGCGGCGCAAGUCGCCCGCGCAUUCUGGGAGCAUGUCAUCAAGCUACACGGGGUUCCUCACUCCAUCGUCUCGGAUCGUGACAAGAUCUUCACGAGCGCCAUGUGGCGGGAACUGCUCGCCGCCGCGGGAACCAAGCUGCUCUAUUCCACGGCGUACCACCCGCAGACGGACGGCCAGACAGAACGUGUCAACCAGUGCCUCGAGAUGUACUUGCGAUGCGCGGUGCACGACACGCCGCGGCAAUGGCGCAAGUGGCUCCCUGCGGCAGAAUUCUGGUACAACUCCGCUCAUCAUUCCUCACUCAAUUGUUCGCCGUUCAAGGCGCUGUACGGCAAGGAACCGAACCUGGGCGGUCUACCACACCUGAGCUCCACGCUGCACGAUCAAGCGGCGUCGCCGGAGCUAGACUGGACAGCACACACCGAGAUGCUGCGCGCCCAGCUCACGCGCGCCCAAGCUCGCUUCAAGAAGCAAGCCGAUCGUCACCGCGCGGAGCGCGCCUUCGACGUCGGCGAGAACGUGCUCCUCAAACUGCAGCCGUACGCGCAGUCGACCGUCGCCAACCGCCCGUGUCGCAAGCUCUCCUACAAGUUCUUCGGCCCUUUUGAAGUGACAGAGCGGAUUGGAACCUUGGCAUAUCGCCUGCAGUUGCCUCCAGACAGCCGCAUCCAUCCGGUAUUUCACGUCUCCCAGCUCAAACCCUUCACUCCAGAUUACACUCCAGUCUUCGCCGAGCUGCCACGGGUACCCGACCUCACUGGGGGUGAAACGGAGCCAGUGGCGAUCUUGGAGCGGAGGAUGAUGAAGAAGGGCGAUGCACCGGUCGUGCAACUCCGUGUCCAGUGGGCAAACAUGCCAACUUCAGCCACCACCUGGGAAGAUUACACCGUUCUUCGCCAACGCUAUCCAUCAGCCUGCAUCUGGGAAGGAGCUUCAUCUCAAGGGGAGGACAAUGUCGCGCCUACUGAUGCAUCAGUGGCGGACUGAACUAGUGCAGUCAGUUAGCUGAACUGCAACGCUAGUGUGUGUGUGGGCUUGGGGCCGUAUGUGUUGUGGGCCUGAGGCCAUGUAAGGGUAAGCCCAGGAGGGGCGGCUACUUAUGUACGAAACACUAAGGAGAAAGGCAGCGAGUGAUUGACUGAACCUUCUUUCCCCUCCUCCACGUCUCUCACCUACUCUCUUCUAUCUUCCUCAUCCCCAAUUUCCGAUCGAGAUCCGUCUAGGCAUUACAAAACAACAACAACAAGAUAGUCAGGCCUCUUGCAUCGGACCAUAAACUGGCCAGAAUUAAUGCGAUGAUACAGAAAAUGCAGAGGGAGGAGAGUUGUUGUUUAUUACCACCAUUGUUUGUCCUGCUGUUGUAGUUGAUCAAAAGGGCGACUUGGUUGAUUCCUAAUCUCGAUACUGAUCCAGUUCCAUCCGACCUCCUGCCUGGAGCUGGACUAGAGGGAUUCCAACUCUACCUACGAACCAGGCAUAUUAAUUGGCAACAUAUAUUUGAAAAAAACAUGUAUCUAUCUAAUUCGCAGCGAGGAAAUCAAUCAACUAAAAGAGAGUCAUGUCCUGAAUAUUAAUUAAGAAACAGUAUAACUAACUGACCUACGAGCCCUCACAACCACCCUCGCGCAGGUUACGUCGGAUUAGUGUUUGACCGUCCUGAUUUAACGAUCGGGGGUUGCGGGCCACGUGACUGGGCUGCUGCUCCUCAAGUCUAUUUUGCUGGCCUCUCAUUCAAUGGGCCCUGGCACAGAGCUUUCACGGCCUGUUAGUAGUGAAGCUUCCUUCAUUCGUUCGGCCUACAACAGCAUAUCGAUGGUGAUGGACUCCCUCUAUGCGAUCGCGGCGCCCCUCGCUCUCCCUCCACUGCCCCUCCCCGUAAUCCACUCUUCCCAAGCAACCUCUCUCCUCUAGCAAGCUAGGCUUAAUCCUAGAUGUGCCAAAGCCACAACCAUUCCCUCCUGUGCAGUCCGCACUCUUUUUUGACUUCGACAAUCAGGAUCCUUGCGCAAGGGGAGAGCUGUCCGUGCUCAUCCAAUAGCUGAUAUGAUCGUUAGUGUUGCAUGUUGCUUGGCAUUUUCAGGUAUAUAUCUCACAACUAUCUAUCAGGAUCCAUAUUCAGUUUUGUAUCUGACUUCCCCGAUCUGACAUUGUUUUUCCAAAUUUUGCAACACAUCCUUUAAACCUUGAAUAUCUGCAUUUGUCAUGUUAAUCUGUCAAGCAACAACAUGAGUGGAUCAAUCCCCUAUGAGCCUAGCUUUUUAAUUAUAUCAUUCGUACAACAUCACAAAUCCUUUCAUGGAGGCAAUAUGACAUAAGUAAAAAUUUCAUCAAAUUUCAGGGAACUUUUCAUGUUGAUAUGGUGAACCAACUGAAGAAACUCUGUAUGAUUGCACCCUGAAAAUGAAU
rnacentral:lncRNA from 1 species